rnacentral:rRNA from 1 species
UACGGGGGGGGCAAGCGUUGUUCGGAAUUACUGGGCGUAAAGGGCUCGUAGGCGGCCAACUAAGUCAGACGUGAAAUCCCUCGGCUUAACCGGGGAACUGCGUCUGAUACUGGAUGGCUUGAGUGUGGGAGAGGGAUGCGGAAUUCCAGGUGUAGCGGUGAAAUGCGUAGAUAUCGGGAGGAACACCAGUAGCGAAGGCGGCUCGCUGGGCCGUUCCGACGCUGAGACGCGAAAGCUAGGGGAGCGAACAGG